ensembl:snRNA U6 U6 spliceosomal RNA
GUGCUCACUUCAGCAGUACAUAUACUAAAAUUGAAAUGAUACAGAGAUUAGCAUGGUCCCUGAACAAGGAUGACAGGCAAAUUCGUGAAGCAUUCCAUAUUAAA